UCCGAUGUGGUGUAUCGGUAACAUUACCGCCUCUCAGAGAAAAUCUGGUCGCGGUAGCGCGGGGUUCGAUUCCCCGCAUCGGAA